GGCCCCCAAAGGGAGUUGCACUAUUAGGAGGUGUGGCCUUGUUGGAGUGGGUGUGGUCUCAUUGGAGGAAGUGCAUCGCUGUGGAGGCGGGCUUUGAGGGCUCACAUGUGCUCAAGAUACCACUGAAUGUCUCAGAUAACUUCCUGUUGCCUGCAAGAUACAGGACUCUCAGCUACUUCUCCAGCACCAUGUCUUCCUGCACACCACAUUGUCCCACUAUGAUGACAAUGGACUGAACCUCUGAACUGUGUGAAUGAACCACGGUACAAGCCUCUGCUGCUGUGGACUGAACUGAUGCAGUCAUCACACCUUCCUUGCUAUGGUGCACCAUUCUGCUGAACUAUGAGCCCAAAUAAAGCUCUUAUCCUCCGGGCAGUGGUGGUGCACGCCUUUAGCCCCAGCACUCGGGAGGCAGAGGCAGGCGGAUCUCUGUGAGUUCAAGACCAGCCUGGUCUACAAGAGCUAGUUCCAGGAUAGCCUCCAAAAGCCACAGAGAAACCCUGCCUGAAAAAAAAAAAAGGUUUGUUUAUUUUUAUUUUAUUUACAUGUGCAAGUGACUUUAUGUUAUGUGCACUGUGUGUGCAGUGCCCACAGAGGCCAGAAGAAGGCAGCAGAUCACCUGAAGCUGGAGUUACAG
rnacentral:lncRNA from 1 species